GAUCAAGCGAAUAAGUGCAUGUGGUGGAUGCCUAGGCGAUUACAGGCGAAGAAAGACGUGGUAGCCUGCGAGAAGCUCCGGGGAGCUGGCAAACGAGCAUUGAUCCGGAGAUGUCUGAAUGGGGAAACCCACCCGCGAGGGUACCUAUGACUGAAUACAUAGGUCAUAAGGAGCGAACCUGCUGAACUGAAACAUCUAAGUAGGCAGAGGAAAAGAAAUCAACCGAGAUUCCCGUAGUAGUGGCGAGCGAACCGGGAAGAGCCUGCAACAUUUAGCCGAACAUUUAGCGGAACGGAAUGGAAAGUCCGACCAUAGUGGGUGAUAGUCCCGUACGCGAAGGAUGAUUGGUGGAACUGGGGUUGCGACAAGUAGGGCGGGACACGUGGAAUCCUGUCUGAAGAUGGGGGGACCAUCCUCCAAGGCUAAAUACUCGUAAUCGACCGAUAGUGAACCAGUACCGUGAGGGAAAGGCGAAAAGAACCCCGGGAGGGGAGUGAAAUAGAUCCUGAAACCGCAUGCAUACAAACAGUGGGAGCCCUGUAAGGGGUGACUGCGUACCUUUUGUAUAAUGGGUCAGCGACUUACAUUCUGUGGCGAGCUUAACCGAAUAGGGGAGGCGUAGCGAAAGCGAGUCUGAAAAGGGCGAAUAGUCGCAGGGUGUAGACCCGAAACCAGAUGAGCUAUUCAUGGCCAGGUUGAAGGCAGGGUAAUACCUGUUGGAGGACCGAACCCACUAGUGUUGAAAAACUAGGGGAUGAGCUGUGGAUAGGGGUGAAAGGCUUAACAAAUCUGGAAAUAGCUGGUUCUCUCCGAAAACUAUUUAGGUAGUGCCUCACGUAUCACUUCUGGGGGUAGAGCACUGUUUUGGCUAGGGGGUCGUUUAGAUCUACCAACCCAAGGCAAACUCCGAAUACCGGAAAGUGCGAGCGUGGGAGACAGACAUCGGGUGCUAACGUCCGGUGUCAAGAGGGAAACAACCCAGACCCUCAGCUAAGGUCCCCAAGACAUGGUUAAGUGGAGAACGAAGUGGGAAGGCGAAGACAGUCAGGAAGUUGGCUUAGAAGCAGCCAUCCUUUAAAGAAAGCGUAAUAGCUCACUGAUCGAGUCGUCCUGCGCGGAAGAUGUAACGGGGCUCAAACCAUGCACCGAAGCUAGGGAUAUCAGUAAUGAUAUGGUAGGAGAGCGUUCAGUAGGCCUGAGAAGGUGAGGUGUGAACCUUGCUGGAGGUAUCUGAAGUGCGAAUGCUGACAUGAGUAGCGAUAAAGCGGGUGAAAAGCCCGCUCGCCGAAAACCCAAGGUUUCCUGCGCAACGUUCAUCGGCGCAGGGUGAGUCGGCCCCUAAGGCGAGGCUGAGAAGCGUAGCUGAUGGGAAAUCGGUUAAUAUUCCGAUACCUUGAUGAAAUGCGAAGGGGGGACGGAGAAGGUUAGGCAAGCCGGGUGUUGGAUGUCCUGGUUUAAGCGUGUAGGCAGAUCUCUUAGGCAAAUCCGGGAGGUUAAUGUCGAGGCGUGAUGACGAGUAGUUUUAGACUAUGAAGUUGCUGAUACCAAGCUUCCAAGAAAAGCCUCUAAGCGAUAGUUUCAUGAAGACCGUACCGCAAACCGACACAGGUGGGUAGGAUGAGAAUUCUAAGGCGCUUGAGAGAACUCGGGUGAAGGAACUCGGCAAAUUAGCACCGUAACUUCGGGAUAAGGUGCGCCCCGAUGAUGUGAAGGUCCUUGCGACUGGAGCAGUAAGGGGUUGCAGUGAAAUGGUGGCUGCGACUGUUUAAUAAAAACACAGCACUCUGCAAACACGAAAGUGGACGUAUAGGGUGUGACGCCUGCCCGGUGCUGGAAGGUUAAGUGAUGGGGUGCAAGCUCUUGAUCGAAGCCCCAGUAAACGGCGGCCGUAACUAUAACGGUCCUAAGGUAGCGAAAUUCCUUGUCGGGUAAGUUCCGACCCGCACGAAUGGCGUAACGAUGGCCACACUGUCUCCACCCGAGACUCAGCGAAGUUGAAGUGUUUGUGAAGAUGCAAUCUCCCCGCUGCUAGACGGAAAGACCCCAUGCACCUUUACUGUAGCUUUACAUUGGACUUUGAUGAGAUUUGUGUAGGAUAGGUGGGAGGCGUUGAGAGCAUGCCGCUAGGUGUGCUGGAGCCGACCUUGAAAUACCACCCUGAUGUUAUUGAGGUUCUAACCUAGGUCCAUUAACUGGAUCGGGGACCGUGUAUGGUAGGCAGUUUGACUGGGGCGGUCUCCUCCCAAAGAGUAACGGAGGAGUGCGAAGGUAUCCUAGGUACGGUCGGACAUCGUACUGAUAGUGCAAUGGCAUAAGGAUGCUUAACUGCGAGACUGACAAGUCGAGCAGGUGCGAAAGCAGGUCAUAGUGAUCCGGUGGUUCUGAAUGGAAGGGCCAUCGCUCAACGGAUAAAAGGUACGCUGGGGAUAACAGGCUGAUUCCUCCCAAGAGUUCAUAUCGACGGGGGAGUUUGGCACCUCGAUGUCGGCUCAUCACAUCCUGGGGCUGUAGCCGGUCCCAAGGGUAUGGCUGUUCGCCAUUUAAAGUGGUACGUGAGCUGGGUUUAAAACGUCGUGAGACAGUUUGGUCCCUAUCUGCAGUGGGCGUUGGAAGUUUGAGGGGGGCUGCUCCUAGUACGAGAGGACCGGAGUGGACGAACCUCUGGUGUACCGGUUAUGACGCCAGUCGUAUUGCCGGGUAGCUAAGUUCGGAAGAGAUAACCGCUGAAAGCAUCUAAGCGGGAAACUUGCCUCAAGAUGAGACUUCCCUGAGGGUAUAACCCUCCUAAAGGUUCGUUCGAGACCAGGACGUUGAUAGGUCGGAUGUGGAAGCGCAGUAAUGUGUUAAGCUAACCGAUACUAAUUGACCGUGAGGCUUGAUCCU
rfam:Ferrovum sp. JA12 FERRO_contig000002, whole genome shotgun sequence.